rnacentral:rRNA from 1 species
GGAUCGUAAACCUCUUUUAUAAGGGAAUAAAGUGCGGGACGUGUCCUGUUUUGUAUGUACCUUAUGAAUAAGGAUCGGCUAACUCCGUGCCAGCAGCCGCGGUAAUACGGAGGAUCCGAGCGUUAUCCGGAUUUAUUGGGUUUAAAGGGUGCGUAGGCGGCCUUUUAAGUCAGCGGUGAAAGUCUGUGGCUCAACCAUAGAAUUGCCGUUGAAACUGGGGGGCUUGAGUAUGUUUGAGGCAGGCGGAAUGCGUGGUGUAGCGGUGAAAUGCUUAGGUAUCACGCAGAACCCCGAUUGCGAAGGCAGCCUGCCAAGCCAUGACUGACGCUGAUGCACGAAAGCGUGGGGAUCAAACAGGAUUAGAUACCCUGGUAGUCCCACGCAGUAAACGCAUGAUCCACUAGCUGUUUGCGCAUACACUGUAAGCGGCACAGCGAAAGCGUUAAGUCAUCCACCUGGGGAGUA